rnacentral:rRNA from 1 species
GACGAACGCUGGCGGCGUGCCUAAUACAUGCAAGUAGAACGCUGAAGGAGGAGCUUGCUUCUCUGGAUGAGUUGCGAACGGGUGAGUAACGCGUAGGUAACCUGCCUGGUAGCGGGGGAUAACUAUUGGAAACGAUAGCUAAUACCGCAUAAUAUUGACUAUUGCAUGAUAGUCAGUUGAAAGGUGCAACUGCACCACUACCAGAUGGACCUGCGUUGUAUUAGCUAGUUGGUGGGGUAACGGCUCACCAAGGCGACGAUACAUAGCCGACUUGAGAGGGUGAUCGGCCACACUGGGACUGAGACACGGCCCAGACUCCUACGGGAGGCAGCAGUAGGGAAUCUUCGGCAAUGGACGGAAGUCUGACCGAGCAACGCCGCGUGAGUGAAGAAGGUUUUCGGAUCGUAAAGCUCUGUUGUAAGAGAAGAACGAGUGUGAGAGUGGAAAGCUCACACUGUGACGGUAUCUUACCAGAAAGGGACGGCUAACUACGUG